GAAGCGCCGGGCGAGCCCACUGCGCGGCCAUCGCGGGGGAAGCGAAGGUUCCUGAUUCCACCUCCCUCCUAAGUGAAGGAGCUGCGGCGCCAAAAUGAGCCGACAGGAGAACCCAGCCAGCAAGCCCACGCCGGUGCAGGACGUACAGGGCGACGGGCGCUGGAUGUCCCUGCACCAUCGGUUCGUGGCUGACAGCAAAGAUAAGGAACCCGAAGUCGUCUUCAUCGGGGACUCCUUGGUCCGGCUAAUGCACCAGUGCGAGAUCUGGCGGGAGCUCUUUUCUCCUCUGCAUGCACUUAACUUUGGCAUCGGUGGUGAGGGCACAGCAUGUACUGUGGCGGCUGGAGAAUGGGGAGCUGGAACACAUCCGGCCCAAGAUUGUGGUGGUCUGGGUGGGCACCAACAACCACGGACACACAGCAGAGCAGGUGACUGGUGGCAUCAAGGCCAUUGUGCAACUGGUGAAUGAGCGGCAGCCCCAGGCCCGGGUUGUGGUGCUGGGUCUGCUUCCGCGAGGCCAGCAUCCCAAUCCACUUCGGGAGAAGAACCGACGGGUGAAUAACCUGGUACGGGCAGCACUGGCUGGUCACCCUCGGGCCCACUUCCUAGAUGCCGACCCUGGCUUUGUGCACUCAGAUGGCACCAUCAGCCACCAUGACAUGUAUGAUUACCUACAUCUAAGCCGCCUAGGCUACACACCUGUUUGCCGGGCUCUGCACUCCCUGCUUCUGCGUCUGCUGGCCCAAGACCAGGGCCAAGGUGCGCCCCUGCUGGAGCCCGCACCCUAA